GACGAACGCUGGCGGCGUGCUUAACACAUGCAAGUCGAACGGAAAGGCCCUGCUUUUGUGGGGUGCUCGAGUGGCGAACGGGUGAGUAACACGUGAGUAACCUGCCCUUGACUUUGGGAUAACCUCAGGAAACUGGGGCUAAUACCGGCUAGGAGCUCCUGCUGCAUGGUGGGGGUUGGAAAGUUUCGGCGGUUGGGGAUGGACUCGCGUCUCAUCAGCUUGUUGGUGGGGUAGUGGCUUACCAAGGCCUUGACCGGUGGCCGGCCUGCGAGGGUAACCGGCCCAGUUAGGAUGGGACUGCGGCCCGGACUCGUCUGGGAGGCAGCGGUGCGGAAGAGUGCACAAUAGGCGGAACCCUGAUGCAGCAAAGCCGCGUGGGGGAUGACGGCAUUCGGGUUGUGAUCUACUUCCGUCUGUGACGAAACGUGAGUGACGGUAAUGGGUAAAGAAGCACCGGCUAACUACGUG
rnacentral:rRNA from 1 species